GCUGGGUGCGGUGGCGGGUGCCUGUAAUCCCAGCUACUUGGGAGGCUGAGGCAGGAGAAUCGCUUGAGCCCGGGAGGUAGAGGUUGCAGUGAGCCAAGUUCGUGCCACUGCUAUCCAGCCUGGGCGACAGAGCAAGACUCCGUCUCAA
ensembl:misc_RNA Metazoa_SRP Metazoan signal recognition particle RNA